AUGUCAUGUGAAAGGAGAGGCUAGCUCUCCCCUUUACAAGGAUGGAAGGGCCUUGAGCCUCAAACACGCAUGCAAUUGAGGCCCUGGCACCUAGGUUGUGGCAUCUGAUCACUGUCUUUA